GCGGGCCUAUACAUGCAAGUCGAGCGGAGAUUUGAAAAGCUUGCUUUUCAAAUCUUAGCGGCGGACGGGUGAGUAACACGUGGGCAACCUGCCCUUGAGACGGGGAUAACUCCGGGAAACCGGAGCUAAUACCGGAUAACACAUAUCUUCGCAUGAUGAUAUGUUAGAAGGUGGCUUUUAGCUACCACUCAAGGAUGGGCCCGCGGCGCAUUAGCUAGUUGGUGAGGUAACGGCUCACCAAGGCGACGAUGCGUAGCCGACCUGAGAGGGUGAUCGGCCACACUGGGACUGAGACACGGCCCAGACUCCUACGGGAGGCAGCAGUAGGGAAUCUUCCGCAAUGGACGAAAGUCUGACGGAGCAACGCCGCGUGAGUGAUGAAGGUUUUCGGAUCGUAAAGCUCUGUUGUUAGGGAAGAACAAGUAUCUGUUGAAUAAGCAGGUACCUUGACGGUACCUAACCAGAAAGCCACGGCUAACUACGUGCCAGCAGCCGCGGUAAUACGUAGGUGGCAAGCGUUGUCCGGAAUUAUUGGGCGUAAAGCGCGCGCAGGCGGUUCCUUAAGUCUGAUGUGAAAGCCCACGGCUCAACCGUGGAGGGUCAUUGGAAACUGGGGAACUUGAGUGCAGAAGAGGAGAGCGGAAUUCCACGUGUAGCGGUGAAAUGCGUAGAGAUGUGGAGGAACACCAGUGGCGAAAGCGGCUCUCUGGUCUGUAACUGACGCUGAGGCGCGAAAGCGUGGGGAGCGAACAGGAUUAGAUACCCUGGUAGUCCACGCCGUAAACGAUGAGUGCUAAGUGUUAGAGGGUUUCCGCCCUUUAGUGCUGCAGCAAACGCAUUAAGCACUCCGCCUGGGGAGUACGGUCGCAAGACUGAAACUCAAAGAAUUGACGGGGACCCGCACAAGCGGUGGAGCAUGUGGUUUAAUUCGAAGCA
rnacentral:rRNA from 2 species